UGCGAACUCCUACGGGAGGCAGCAGUAGGGAAUCUUCGGCAAUGGACGGAAGUCUGACCGAGCAACGCCGCGUGAGUGAAGAAGGUUUUCGGAUCGUAAAGCUCUGUUGUAAGAGAAGAACGAGUGUGAGAGUGGAAAGUUCACACUGUGACGGUAUCUUACCAGAAAGGGACGGCUAACUACGUGCCAGCAGCCGCGGUAAUACGUAGGUCCCGAGCGUUGUCCGGAUUUAUUGGGCGUAAAGCGAGCGCAGGCGGUUUGAUAAGUCUGAAGUUAAAGGCUGUGGCUCAACCAUAGUUCGCUUUGGAAACUGUCAAACUUGAGUGCAGAAGGGGAGAGUGGAAUUCCAUGUGUAGCGGUGAAAUGCGUAGAUAUAUGGAGGAACACCGGUGGCGAAAGCGGCUCUCUGGUCUGUAACUGACGCUGAGGCUCGAAAGCGUGGGGAGCGAACAGGAUUAGAAACCCCGGUAGUCCAGAGAA
rnacentral:rRNA from 1 species